UACGUAGGGGGCAAGCGUUAUCCGGACUUACUGGGUGUAAAGGGGGCGCAGACGGCGAUGCAAGCCAGGAGUGAAAGCCCGGGGCCCAACCCCGGGACUGCUCUUGGAACUGCGUGGCUGGAGUGCAGGAGGGGCAGGCGGAAUUCCUGGUGUAGCGGUGAAAUGCGUAGGUAUCAGGAGGAACACCGGUGGCGAAGGCGGCCUGCUGGACUGCAACUGACGUUGAGGCCCGAAAGCGUGGGGAGCAAACAGG
rnacentral:rRNA from 1 species